rnacentral:lncRNA from 1 species
UUUCUCUGGGAAGAAUCAGGCAACAGUCCCUGACCUCAUGGAGCUUACGUGCUAUGAAGAGGAUGGCUAAUGAACUCCUGACAUGCCCGGAAGCCGCGGGUAGGGGGCGGGGCCAGCAGUGGCUGGGGAAGAGGGAGGGGAAUUCAGGCACCCAGGAAAAGCUUCCCCGGGACUUCUUAAACUGACCUAGAGAAAGAGGAAGAUUUUGCCAAACACAGAGAGGAAGGCAUUCCAGGCAGAGGGGAGAGUAUAUGAAAGCCUAGCACAGAGAUCAAACUUCAUGCCAAGGAUCGGAAGGAACCCAGGUGGGCUGGAUUCAGGCAAGCGGGCUCAUAGUAGGCAUCAGGCUGAAGUAGACAGCGGCUGGACGUGCAGCGCUUUCUCUAGCAGUCUUUGUUAAUGAUUUCAAACUUUAUCCUAAAAACAAUGAAAAGUUACUAGGGAGACUUUGCACAUGUGAUCUAAUUUACAGGGUCUGGUCACAGUGCGGAGGGGCCAGGGCAGGGCUCUCUGUUUGAAGCCUGAUGCAAUAGUCCAAGUGAGAGAGAGCAGUGGCCUCAACCAGGGUGUGCACAGGGUGAUGGAAAGAAACAGCUGGAUCAAAGAAAUGCUUACGAGACAGAAUCAAAACGAUGUGGUGACUUGGUUGGGUGUGGGGAUCAGGAAGAGAGCGGAAUCAAAGUGACACCCAAGUUUCUGGUUCUGGGUGGUGGUGCCACUUACCGAGCGCAGGAGUAGGUGUGCGGACAAUGCUGAUAACCUGUUUCAGAUAUGUCGAGUUUGAAAUGCAAAUAAGAUGUCUGGUCGCCCCCUCUCAUUCACUGACCAUAUUACAUCCUGGCUCACUGCUAAGACACUUAUUAUUGUUCACACCCAAAACCUUGACCGCUCACUUUCUGGACUUCCUUGUUUCCAACAAUCUUUUUUCCUCCACCUGUCAAACCUCACCACAUGCGUGCUCAUAGCCUAGACCCCAUUUGUAAUGAGAACUGCACUGUCUCCUCUCUCUUGUCCCCCUCCAGCAAUCUUUCUGCCACAUCUACUGGUCAAUAACCCCACUAUCUCAAUAUCCAUCACCCCCUUCACAUCCCCACCUUCCCUCCUAACUCCAGUUAAAUUCUCCGGGUGGCCCCUGUUCCAGAAUAUCUGGAGAAUAAUACCACUGGACUGCCUGGUUUCAGGCGCAACUUCUGGCCACAAAGCUCAAGUGGGCACUCCACAUGUCUAAGAAAUUCUGCAUUUCCCUAAAACUUUAACCCUAUUCUCCAAGAUGACCUUAUCAUACCUCUCUUUGCCCAAACCUCGAGCUCCCAUUCUCUUAAUCCCCCAUUUCAGCAGAGAGCCAGGCAUCCUAUGCCAAUGGGCAAUAGAAGCAGUAGGCAAGCACUGGCUCAUCCCCGUCCACCAAGUCCGCCUUCUCCCCUUAACAUGGAUGAAGCAUCGUGCUCCUGGUAGCCCCUGCUGCACGUGGGCACUGUCCC